rnacentral:rRNA from 1 species
GAGUUUGUCUUGGCUCAGAUUGAACGCUGGCGGCAGGCCUAACACAUGCAAGUCGAGCGGUAGAGAGAAGCUUGCUUCUCUUGAGAGCGGCGGACGGGUGAGUAAUGCCUAGGAUCUGCCUGGUAGUGGGGGAUAACGCUCGGAAACGGACGCUAAUACCGCAUACCGUCCUACGGGAGAAAGCAGGGGACCUUCGGGGCCUUGCGCUAUCAGAUGAGCCCAGGUCGGAUUAGCUAGUUGGUGAGGUAAUGGCUCACCAAGGCGAACGAUCCGUAACUGGUCUGAGAGGAUGAUCAGUCACACUGGAACUGAGACACGGUCCAGACCCCUACGGGAGGCAGCAGUGGGAAUAUUGGACAAUGGCGAAAGCCUGAUCCAGCCAUGCCGCGUGUGUGAAGAAGGUCUUCGGAUUGUAAAGCACUUUAAGUGGGAGGAAGGGCAGUAAAUUAAUACUUUGCUGUUUUGACGUUACCGACAGAAUAAGCACCGGCUAACUCUGUGCCAGCCGCGCGGU